AGCGCAGCGGUAGCGCGGCGGACUCAUAAUCCGCAGGCCGUGGGUUCGAUUCCCACCCCCGCAACCA
rnacentral:tRNA from 1 species